ACCAGAGUUUCCAAAACCUACUUGUCAAGAGUAGCCUCUCUCCAGUCUCCUGCCUUCUCUUUCAUUCACUUAAGCAAUGUCGGUUUAGUGCUUUGUUGUCUGACUCUGUCACUAAGUAUGACCACAGGCCCUAAAAUAUGAAGUCUUUGCUGUCAUUGUUGUUUAGUUGCUAAGUUGUGUCUGAUUCUUUCACAGCCCCAUAGACUGUAGCCUGCCAGACCCCUCAGUUCAUGGGAUUCUCUAGGCAAGAAUACUGGAGUGGGUUGCCAUUUCCUUCUCCAGGGGAUCUUUCUGACCCAGGGAUCAAACUUGCGUCUCCUGCAUUAGCAGGCAUAUUCUUUACCACUGAGCCACUUGGCAAUUACAAAGAUUUGCCCAGUUUCAAGGGGAAAGAACAGGGACUCCCACACUUGAUGGAGUGUCACUGACACAUUUCAAGAGCAUGGGGGCCCAAGCAAGAUCUUAUGACAUUACCUUUAUUCUCUUCAAGAAUAACCUGGAAAUGGGGGCCCAAGAAGCCAGAUAGUAGACCAGAAGGAAAUGUUGACAUCACACCCUUUCACCCUCAUCUCUCCCAAUGGAUUCACAAAGCCUGGACACAACAUCAUUAGUCAUUCAGAUCAGAUCAGAUCAGUCACUCAGUCGUGUCCGACUCUUUGCGACCCCAUGAAUCGCAGCACGCCAGGCCUCCCUGUCCAUCACCAACUCCCGGAGUUCACUCAGACUCACGUCCAUCGAGUCAGUGAUGCCAUCCAGCCAUCUCAUCCUCUGGCGUCCCCUUCUCCUCCUGCCCCCAAUC
ensembl:lncRNA